rnacentral:rRNA from 1 species
AUUGAACGCUGGCGGCAUGCCUAACACAUGCAAGUCGAGCGGCACGUCGGACGGGUGAGUAAUGACUGGGAAUUUACCUGGUAGUGAGGUAUAACUCACUGAAACGGACGCUAAUACCGCAUACUAUCAGUUGACCUUCGGUCGGAUUAGCUAGCUGGUGGGGUAAUGGCUUACCAAGGUGAUGAUCCUUAGCGGGUCUGAGAGGAUGAUCAGUCACACUGGAACUGAGACACGGCCCAGACUCCUACGGGAGGCAGCAGUAGGGAAUAUUGGACAAUGGGCGAAAGCCUGAUCCAGCCAUGCCGCGUGUGUGAAGAAGGUCUUCGGAUUGUAAAGCACUUUAAGUUGGGAGGCGUUACCUACAGAAUAAGCAACGGCUAACUUCGUGCCAGCAGCCGCGGUAAUUC